UACGGGGGGGGCAAGCGUUGUUCGGAAUUACUGGGCGUAAAGGGCUCGUAGGCGGCCAACUAAGUCAGACGUGAAAUCCCUCGGCUUAACCGGGGAACUGCGUCUGAUACUGGAUGGCUUGAGGUUGGGAGAGGGAUGCGAAAUUCCAGGUGUAGCGGUGAAAUGCGUAGAUAUCUGGAGGAACACCGGUGGCGAAGGCGGCAGCCUGGACCAAUUCUGACGCUGAGGAGCGAAAGCCAGGGGAGCAAACGGG
rnacentral:rRNA from 1 species